rnacentral:rRNA from 1 species
AGUGAACGCUGGCGGUAGGCCUAACACAUGCAAGUCGAACGGCAGCACAGUAAGAGCUUGCUCUUACGGGUGGCGAGUGGCGGACGGGUGAGGAAUACAUCGGAAUCUACUUUUUCGUGGGGGAUAACGUAGGGAAACUUACGCUAAUACCGCAUACGACCUACGGGUGAAAGCAGGGGAUCUUCGGACCUUGCGCGAUUGAAUGAGCCGAUGUCGGAUUAGCUAGUUGGCGGGGUAAAGGCCCACCAAGGCGACGAUCCGUAGCUGGUCUGAGAGGAUGAUCAGCCACAAUGGAACUGAGACACGGUCCAGACUCCUACGGGAGGCAGCAGGGGGAAAUAUGGGACAAUGGGCGCAAGCCUGAUCCAGCCAUACCGCGGGGGUGAAGAAGGCCUUCGGGUUUUAAAGCCCUUUUGUUGGGAAAAAAAAGCAGCAGGUUAAUACCCCGCUGUUUUGACGGUACCCAAAGAAUAAGCACCGGCUAACUUCGU